CACGUAGUUAGCCGUGGCUUCCUCCUUGGCUACCGUCAUUAUCGUCACCAGGGACAGAGGUUUACAAUCCGAAAACCUUCUUCCCUCACGCGGCGUCGCUGGGUCAGGGUUUCCCCCAUUGCCCAAUAUUCCCCACUGCUGCCUCCCGUAGGAGUCUGGGCCGUGUCUCAGUCCCAAUGUGGCCGUUCAACCUCUCAGUCCGGCUACCAAUCGUCGGCAUGGUGGGCCUCUACCCCGCCAUCUACCUAAUUGGACGCGAGCCCAUCUCUCAGCGGAUUGCUCCUUUGAUUGCAAAACCAUGCGGCUCUGCAAUGUUAUGCGGUAUUAGCGAUCGUUUCCAAUCGUUAUCCCCCUCUGAAAGGCAGGUUGCUCACGCGUUACUCACCCGUCCGCCACUCGAAUAUGCCUUCCUCGGCCGAAGCCUUGUCCAGCAUAUCCCCGUUCGACUUGCAUGUGUUAGGCGUCGCCGCCAGCGUUCGUCCUGUACGCCGAGGACGUCGAAACUCUACUCG
rnacentral:rRNA from 1 species